rnacentral:lncRNA from 1 species
CACAACCUUUCAAACUUCUGUCUUGGUGUUAGUGUAUAGUUCUGGAUGCCAUCUACCAGCAAAAAAAUAGAAUUUGGGUUUGGAUGAACAGUGACGUUUGACCUACACUUGGGUCAGCUGGCCCAUUCUGAAGCUGGUCAUGUUGUUAACUAAAAUUGAAUUUGUUGCUGAGUAGUGACAAGAAUAGGGAGGGCUGUGAGGUGGAGAGGGCAGAGUGGUCCCUUGUGGGGAAUGUGUUUGUGUGUGUGUGAGGGGAUUAAUUUUUGAACUAAUUUAUUUCAAUCCCUGUCAGUUUUAGCCAAGAUCUGAUAAAGAAUUUUGUUGCUACCGUAGUUCUUAACAAUUACCUGUUACAAAAAGUGUAUAUAUAAUUUUCUUACUUCUUUAAACAUCCUUUUUUCUUAAAACAUUUUUUUAGAGAAAAUAGGUUCCUUGGGUAUCCUAUGCUUUCCUCCCCCCCCACCCCCUUCCCUUGAGUUAUUAAAAUAUGCUGUAUAGGACUAACUUGUUUUUCUUUUUCAUUUCCAUACAGGAAGGAGAAAAUUAUUGUUCAUGUACCAUUUUUAACUAGUCUUUUGACUGAGGAUUAUUGUGAAACAUUUUACUCUUUGCUCGAUUGCUCGUUUGUAAUACCUGUAAUUUUUAUAGGAAUUUCAACUUUCUAAUUUGAUAGUAACAAAUCUAGGUAAGUAUAAAAUGAGGAUCUCAUACAUUUCAGAAGAUCUGAGUUUGGUUUAGAAAAAUAUUUUGUAACCAGUAAGCCUUUCAAUUUAUUUAAAGCUAAAGACAAAAAUGUAACUGUCCAUACCAGUUGAGAGAUAAGUGGAUCUGCAGAUCACUAUUUCUGAUGUUCUUAAGUAGUUGCUGCUGGAAGUUAGGGACAAAUAUAACAGCCUUUGUAAAAUCCUCUUUGUCAUUUCACAGAACAGUGACUUACAGGAGCAAGGACUAUCCUGAAAUCUCCCUUCAACAGGAUGCGUAGAGCAACAUUGUAGUCAAUGAGAGAUCAUUAUACAGAGAAGGAAACUUAACUGAAUUAUAUAUCAAUUAUCAUAGUCUUGUUUAAGAAACUCUAAGAAACUCCCAUACUAAGAAUCUAUACUUAAGCUUUUAGCAACAGCCUUAUCACUUCCUUUAACUUUUUUUGUAGAACUUAUAAAAUUUAUGAUUGCCUACAUAGUAUUCUGAGAGUUAGCAGGUAAAAAUUCUACCAUGAGCUCUAUCUUUAUCCUUACAUAUGGUGCUAGGAUAUUGUGGAUAUUGGGUAACAAAAGGCUUGUAACUUUUCUUUUGACUCACAAUAAGAAAUGUAUUUAUAUCAUAUAUAUAUAUUUUCUAUUACAUAGGUGUAAAUAAAUUUCACAAUAAAGUGAUGCACUCUGUU